rnacentral:rRNA from 1 species
CAGGCUUAACACAUGCAAGUCGAACGCUGUAGCAAUACAGAGUGGCAGACGGGUGAGUAACGCGUGGGAAUCUACCCAGUUCUACGGAACAACACAGGGAAACUUGUGCUAAUACCGUAUACGCCCUACGGGGGAAAGAUUUAUCGGAAUUGGAUGAGCCCGCGUAAGAUUAGCUAGUUGGUGGGGUAAUGGCCUACCAAGGCGACGAUCUUUAGCUGGUCUGAGAGGAUGAUCAGCCACACUGGGACUGAGACACGGCCCAGACUCCUACGGGAGGCAGCAGUGGGGAAUAUUGGACAAUGGGCGCAAGCCUGAUCCAGCCAUGCCGCGUGAGUGAUGAAGGCCUUAGGGUUGUAAAGCUCUUUCAGUAGGGAAGAUAAUGACGGUACCUACAGAAGAAGCCCCGGCUAACUUCGUGCCAGCAGCCGCGGUAAUACGAAGGGGGCUAGCGUUGUUCGGAUUUACUGGGCGUAAAGCGCACGUAGGCGGAUCGUUAAGUCGGGGGUGAAAUCCUGGAGCUCAACUCCAGAACUGCCUUCGAUACUGGCGAUCUUGAGUCCGGAAGAGUGAGUGGAACUCCUAGUGUAGAGUGGAAUUCGUAGAUAUAGGAAGAACACAGUGGCGAAGCGGCUCACUGGUCCGGUACUGACGCUGAGGUGCGAAAGCGUGGGG